CAGAUGUAACAGCCUUAAGCUCCAAAAUGUGAAUGGGGACCUGUCCAACUUGAGGUGCAACUACUAGAAUAAAGAGACUCCAGCCCCAAUUUGUAUCACUUGACUGGAUGACUACAUGCAAUUGUGGACAAGGAAACAAAAGUACAGAGAAAUUGUCUAGUAAGUUGUCUUUCUCAUCACUCAGUACUGGAGGAUUCAGAGGCUUCCAUCAUCAAGUGAGUUCCUGCCAAACAGAAACAAAGAUGGUUCCUGGCUGGAGUGCCAGUGUCUGACACAGAAGGGGAGACUCUUUCAUGCCAGUGGAAGUACUCAUGAAGUUUGGUGUUACUGAAGGUCCUGGGACAUUGAAAACUGCUACAGAAAGAGUGAAUCCCUUCAGAUACAAACAUACUGCAUCUGCCUAAGAGGAACAAACACAUUCCCAAGCAGAGAAAGACCAAGAGCAAGACCUGUUCCCUCUCCUGCUAAUGGGGAUAUCCCAUAGGAGCAUGCUUGGAGGUGGGUAAAUCUGACUGCAGUUCUGUGGCCACCAGAA